GAUGAACGCUGGCGGCGUGCUUAACACAUGCCAGUCGAACGAUGAAGCCCAGCUUGCUGGGUGGUUUAGUGGCGAACGGGUGAGUAACACGUGAGUAACCUGCCCUUAACUCUGGGAUAAGCCUGGGAAACUGGGUCUAAUACCGGAUAGGAGCGUCCACCGCAUGGUGGGUGUUGGAAAGAUUUAUCGGUUUUGGAUGGACUCGCGGCCUAUCAGCUUGUUGUUGAGGUAAUGGCUCACCAAGGCGACGACGGGUAGCCGGCCUGAGAGGGUGACCGGCCACACUGGGACUGAGACACGGCCCAGACUCCGACGGGAGGCAGCAGUGGGGAAUCUUGCACGAUGGGCGCAAGCCUGAUGCAGCGACGCCGCGUGAGGGAUGACGGCCUUCGGGGUGUAAACCUCUUUCAGUAGGGAAGAAGCGAAAGUGACGGUACCUGCAGAAGAAGCACCGGCUAACUACGUGC
rnacentral:rRNA from 1 species